rnacentral:rRNA from 1 species
UACAGAGGUCCCAAGCGUUGUUCGGAUUCACUGGGCGUAAAGGGUGCGUAGGCGGUCGGGUAAGUCUGAUGUGAAAUCUCACAGCUUAACUGUGAAACUGCAUUGGAUACUACCCGGCUCGAGGAAUGGAGGGGAGACUGGAAUACUUGGUGUAGCAGUGAAAUGCGUAGAUAUCAAGUGGAACACCAGUGGCGAAGGCGGCCUUCUGGACCAGUACUGACGCUCAUGCACGAAAGCGUGGGGAGCAAACAGG